rnacentral:rRNA from 1 species
AUACAGAGGGGGCAAGCGUUGUUCGGAAUUACUGGGCGUAAAGGGCGCGUAGGCGGCCAAGUCAGUCAGGCGUGAAAGCCCAGGGCUCAACCCUGGAAUUGCGUUUGAUACUGCUGGUCUAGAGUCCGGGAGAGGGUAGUGGAAUUCCCAGUGUAGAGGUGAAAUUCGUAGAUAUUGGGAAGAACACCGGUGGCGAAGGCGGCUACCUGGACCGGUACUGACGCUAAGGUGCGAAAGCGUGGGGAGCAAACAGGAUUAGAUACCCCGGUAGUCC